rnacentral:rRNA from 1 species
GACGAACGCUGGCGGCGUGCCUAAUACAUGCAAGUUGAGCGCUGAAGGUUGGUACUUGUACCGACUGGAUGAGCAGCGAACGGGUGAGUAACGCGUGGGGAAUCUGCCUUUGAGCGGGGUACAACAUGUGGAAACGAAUGCUAAUACCGCAUAAAAACUUUAAACACAAGUUUUAAGUUUGAAAGAUGCAAUUGCAUCACUCAAAGAUGAUCCCGCGUUGUAUUAGCUAGUUAGUGAGGUAAAGGCUCACCAAGGCGAUGAUACAUAGCCGACCUGAGAGGGUGAUCGGCCACAUUGGGACUGAGACACGGCACAAACUCCUACGGGAGGCAGCAGUAGGGAAUCUUCGGCAAUGGACGAAAGUCUGACCGCGCAACGCCGCGUGAGUGAAGAAGGUUUUCGGAUCGUAAAACUCUGUUGGUAGAGAAGAACGUUGGUGAGAGUGGAAAGCUCAUCAAGUGACGGUAACUACCCAGAAAGGGACGGCUAACUACGUG